GUGCGAGACCGAUAGCGAACAAGUACCGUGAGGAAAAGAUGAAAAGAACUUUGAAAAGAGAGUUAAAGAGUACCUGAAACUGCUGAAAGGGAAGCGAAUCGUAUCCAGUGUCUAUAAUCUGCGGCAUAUUUCAUUGGCGGCAGUGUGCGUGCUUUUGCGUCGGAAGCGGCUUUUGUUGCUCUGUGCUUUUGCUGUGCGUGCUGUUGCUGGUGCCCUGUGUUGCGGUGGGACGUCAGAGUCAGUUCGUAUGCUGCGGGAAAUGGCCGCCGAGGAGGUAGGUCAGGACUUCGGUCUUGGCUGUUAUAUCUUGGUGGUUUGUUGUCGUGGUUGGGACUGAGGUGCCUACAAUGUGCUUUUGAGUGUGCCGGGUUCUCAUUUGGUGGACUGUUUGGAUAGCUUGCUAUGCUUGUGGUUUUUUCAUCGAGCGAUUGAGUCUGGUGGUAACUUGUUGCUGUUCGGGACUUUGA
rnacentral:rRNA from 2 species